AUACGUAGGUGGCAAGCGUUGUCCGGAAUUACUGGGUGUAAAGGGCGUGUAGGCGGGAGAGCAAGUCAGAUGUGAAACCCCAUGGCUUAACUGUGGGACUGCAUCUGAAACUGUUUUUCUUGAGUACUGGAGAGGGAAGUGGAAUUCCUAGUGUAGCGGUGAAAUGCGUAGAGAUUAGGAGGAACACCAGUGGCGAAGGCGGCUUCCUGGACAGAGACUGACGCUGAGGCGCGAAAGCGUGGGGAGCAAACAGGAUUAGAUACCCUGGUAGUCCACGCCGUAAACGAUGGAUACUAGGUGUAGGAGGUAUCGACCCCUUCUGUGCCGGAGUUAACACAAUAAGUAUCCCACCUGGGGAGUACGGCCGCAAGGUUGAA
rnacentral:rRNA from 1 species